CCCAAUCGAGAGAGGGAGUGCCAAGGUUUGAUUGCGCUGAGUCCUUGUCUCGCGCUCGGCGUCUUUCCGCUCAUCUCUCGCUUCGGCGUCCGCGCGCGGGUGUCUGUGAGAGAGAAGUCUGGCGGUGGCGGCUGUAGCAAAUAUUUGCUGAGCCCCUCUGGCAUGUGCAACAGUAAUUUUUAACUGGCACUUGAGUUAAUUCAAGUGCUUUGUACUAUGUCUCUUGUACUGAAUCUCUUAAGACAACUGCUGGAAUAUUAUGGCGUGCCACCAGAAUUGUUUAUACAGAGGUGUGAAGUUUGUCUUAAUGCCUUUGCUCUUAUGAUUGCAUCCCAUCUUCCUUCAAACACCUCUUCAAGAGCACACUUCCAACAGUUAUGUGCCAUCUCAAGACGCUAUGCAGUGUCCUGGGCGUGGGAAAGAAAAAAGUAUGGAUCUACCCGAAGUUUCGUUCGCAGACUGGGGAAGUAUCUUUCAUUAACUCCUUGUCCAAGGCCUCAGUUUCAGGUAAUCCAGAGUUUUAAUUCUUUGACAUCUGAGCAAAGUAUUUCUAGUAGCUCUGUUACACCAUCUCUUGCUGAUGUUUUGUGGAUGGCAGAAAAUGAAAGAGAACCAUACGCUAGAUUUAGAUUUGAUGAAUGGAGAGGAGUUGUGCCGGUUGCUACAGAAGGAAGUAUGCAAAAAUUAACUGUUGUGAAUGAAGAUGCAUUCAAAAAAAUUUCUGCUCUUGAGAAUGAAUUAGCUCAUCUUCGUGCACAGAUUGCAGCAAUUGUGGCAGUGCCUAGAUCAGGAAAUGAUCAACCAUGUUCAGGCAUUGUGAAUUCCUCAAACAUGGCCUUUAAUGCUCUCCCACAGCCAGGAGUGACUUCGACACCAGUCCCAAGUUCUCACAUCGCUGUUCCUCCACCGCCACCAGCACCACCAUGUCCAGCUGUACCGCUAUCUAAUUUUGAUUCCCGUAAUUCAGCCAUUGAGCUUAUUAAACAACGUCGGGCUUCAAGUAAGAUAAGAAAUACUACAGAUAGUACAGGUUGGCAGAAGGAAGAAGCUCUUCCCACUAUGAUGGAUGUUCUGAAGGAUAUAAAUAAGAUCAAACUAAGAGCAGUUGAGAGAUCACCAGGAGGUACACCUCUACCCAAAACAAAAAAAAGAAUUGCAUCACAGUGGGAUCCAGCAGCUUUAAUAGCAGAAGCUCUUAAAGAGAAAUUUGCAUCACAGAACAAUGAUGAUUCCUUUGAUAAAGAGAACAGAUCCUAUGGUACUUCUCCAUUUUCCAGUCCAGAUACCCCAGUGGUUGGCUGUCGCGUUUUGAAGCCAAGUAUGAAGCAGACGCUUAUUAGAACUAAGGAGCUGAUCAAUCUGUUCAUCCCUCAUUUAUGGUUGACUUCAAUCUUCAGAAAGACACAGAGAUACCACGGAAAUACGACUUUCAACAAAUUUUUGGUGGGGUGUGCCUCUACUCCCAAUGAUUGUGGAUACAUCUCAGCAUAUUCAAUUACUGCAAAAUUUCAACAAGAUCCAUGACUACGAUGAAGCCCUUGCUGAUUUUCCUUAAGUGUUUAGUUCUCCAAGCUUCAUCGGGUUGCAGUUUGCCACCGUGUUCCUAAAUAAGGCACAGGACCAAAAGACAGAUGAUUUAUUUUUAACUGGAAAACAACCAUUGAGUUAUUCAACUAAUGAGCCUUGUCCUUCAAUUCUGUCCUAGUCUUAAGAGGACUUUGUAAAUAGUCUAUCCAGGUUUGGGGGAGAAUGGAAGUUUUUUAUAUCUCAGUGACUUGAAUCAUUUGAAAGAGGUGAAGGUAAAUUAAAUCCUCCAAUUGCUUAUUCAAAAUGUGCAAAACUGGGGUGCAUCCCACCUCUCAACUUUACAGGCGCAUGUGCUUUGAUGUGUACAAAGGGGGAAAGGGGAAGAUGUGGAGGAUUCCUGGAAAACCACAAAGAACUUGGUCCUUCACAAAUACAGGAUUUCAGAUUUUGUUUCCUUGUUAAGUAUUUAAUUGAGGCUGUGUUGCAGAAGGCAAGCAACAAGGUUCAUUUAGAGGUACUUCAUGCAGCACCCUUUUUUACUGGGUUGGUGGUCAUGAAUUCUGUUUUUUUAAUUCUAGCUAGUAAUGGAACCAAUGUCUGUCCCAUUACACAUAGAUUUUUCUCCUCAGAACGCUGAAAGUGAUUUGAAAACAGGAACACUGAGCAUGGUGUCUACAUUAUAUCUACUCCUUCCGUAAGGAGGCUUCAGGUGGUGGUGGGACUAUUCUGUUUCUUCAAAAUUUUGCAAAAUGGGUUUUGACAUAGCAACAGGACAUGGGGAAAGAGCUAUUACCGCCACAUGCAGCUCUCCAUCUGCUGUCUGUUUCCAGCCUUAAAAAUGUCAGAGCCUUCUUUUUCAUAUUUAAUCUUUCACUCUCCUACCCCACCCCCCGCAUUUCAUUUGUCUGACAAAGCAUCAGAUCAUGCGAGUGAAAGAUUCCAUACAGGGCUGAUCUGCCCUGUAUGUACCUUUUUUGUAUAUACUUUUUUGUUGCAGCUUAAAUUUGUCUCUUGGAUUGUUUGCAAAACUUAAUUUGACUAAAUAAUCUAUUUGUGCUUCAUCAUUUGGUUUAUGAUCAAGCUAAUGAUGGAAGGCAUUGCAUACUCACCAAUUUGUAUACUAGGUAUUGUGUCUUUCUGCUGAUUACAAAGAGGGCUUACUUCCAAGUCAAAUUUCUUCUCCAGGUCACCUACCAGAAAGAAGGAACAACUUUUGAAGGCUUAUCUGGGUGGUUGCGGUUCUUUUGUGUCUGUGUGAUAUACAGGACACAGGUUAACAAGAGUUUAGAAACGUCUAUUAAUAUACUAACCACGUUUGAGGCUGUAAAUGUGCGUGCAAACAAACAAACAAAAAGCUUUGUCAUUGUCUAGUACUCUUGCACUGCUGUCUAAAAGACACAUUGUAAUAGCCUUUACAAAACCAUGCGUCCUAACAGUGCUAUCCUAAAAAUGUCUACCAGAAGCCCUCCUGGAUCAGAUCAAAGGCCCAUUAGUCCAGUGACAUAUUCUUACAAUAUUUCUACAAACCAGGUAAUGAGCACAUCAGCACUCUCCCCAUGUCUGCUGCUCCUCAGCAAACCUGUAUGAUACUGGUAGUAUCCACUACCAGUAGCCACUGAUUGCCUUAUUUUCCAUAAAUUUGUCACUAAACUAGUGCUCAUUAUUACAUUUUGUUGUGAAUUCUACAGUUUAACUAUGUGUUGCAGGAAGAAGUAUUUCUCUUUCCCCUGUCCUGAAUCUCCCACCAUUCAGCUUCAUUUGAUGAAAAUGGUUUCUAGUAUUUUUAGAGGUGGUGGAAAACCUCUCUCUAUCCACGUUCUCCACAUGAUGCAUAAUUUUAUACAUCUCUAGCAUAUCCCCCAUUCAUCUCCCUUUUUCCACACUAAAAAGCUCCAAAUAUACCUUUCUUCACAGGGAAGUUGCUCCAUCCCCUUUAUCAUUUUGGUUGCCCCUUUCUGAACCUUUUUCAAGCCCUUUCCGGCUUUAUAAGAUCCUUUUUGAGAUGGUACAAUCAAAACUACACAACAUACCAAGUGCAAUCACACCAUAGAUAUGUAUGACAGUCUGAUAUAUGUAAGGUUUCUCUCUCUCUCUCUCCAUUUCUUGCCUCUAAUAUCUUCCUUCAUUCUGCUUGCUAGCCUCUUGGCUUUUAUGGGAUACUCAGAAGGAAGUCCCAUUGAGUUCCAUGGGAUGUACUCCCUGGUAAGUGUUAAUUUCCCCUAGGAAAUUUUACUUAAUCCUGGUUUGUGUCAUUCAGUUACUGGGCUGAAGAUUCUUAGACUUUUUAGUUUCAUAGAUUAAUGAUUUUAAAAUUUAAUUUAAAACAACAACAACACACAUAUAAUAAAGAUUUUGUAAUGACUUGUAACUUACCAAAUUGUGAUUUUGUAUGACAUGUUUGCAAUGCCCUUUUGGAACAAUUAGGACUAUGUGAAGCUCAAUGAAUAAAAGAUAACAUGAAA